CCCCCGGGGCCUGGGCGUGAGGAACGGGAUGGCGGAGUCCCUGGGCAUGCCCCGCUGGGCCUCGCGUCCCCCCGGGGGCCUUCCCGGGAGGAGGCCCGGCCGGGGUCACGCCCGCGCCCUCCUGGCGGGGUGGGUGGGGCCAGGGGCGGGGGGCGGGGUCAGGGGCGCGGCUGCGGCGCUGCCCUCCCCCCCCGCCCGCUUCCGUUCGCGCCUGCGCGCGGAUGCGGGAGCGGGGCUCUUCUUGUUCCCCACUCUGCGAAGGACCUGAGCCAGUGUCGUUAGCAGUGUCCCUGACCCGUGAGCGGGCUCGGGGUGUGCGCGCUGCUGCUCGCGAGUCACGCCCCCGCGUGCAGGCGCCGGACCGGGCGGGGUGGGGCUGCGGGGUGAGCAGACGCGCCGGGGUGGAGUGCUUGGAGCGGAGAGAACUGGGUGCGGUGAGAGCACCAAGGAGCCGCCAGCCUUCCCAGCAUCGAGUUCUUCUGUUUCUUCUGCGCCUACAGGCUUGGUAAGCCUGGAAUCUGCCCCCUGAGUUAAUGCAGACACGGAGGACUGGGAUUGCCGGCGCGUGUUGCCCGGGGAGCUGCAUGCUGUUUUCCACAGUGGCACAUUCUGCAUCCCCACUGGCAGCCCGUAGAGGGCUCCAGUGAAUCCGCAUUCUCUGUUGUCUGAUACA